rnacentral:rRNA from 1 species
GGUUAAGCGACUAAGCGUACACGGUGGAUGCCCUGGCAGUCAGAGGCGAUGAAGGACGUGCUAAUCUGCGAAAAGCGUCGGUAAGGUGAUAUGAACCGUUACAGCCGGCGAUGUCCGAAUGGGGAAACCCAGUGCAAUUCGUUGCACUAUCGUUUGAUGAAUACAUAGUCAAACGAGGCGAACCGGGGGAACUGAAACAUCUAAGUACCCCGAGGAAAAGAAAUCAACCGAGAUUCCCCCAGUAGCGGCGAGCGAACGGGGAGCAGCCCGGAGUCUGAAUCAGCUUGUGUGUUAGUGGAAGCGUCUGGAAAGUCGCAGGGUACAGGGUGAUACUCCCGUACACUAAAACACACAGGUUGUGAACUCGAAGAGUAGGGCGGGACACGUGGUAUCCUGUCUGAAUAUGGGGGGACCAUCCUCCAAGGCUAAAUACUCCUGACUGACCGAUAGUGAACCAGUACCGUGAGGGAAAGGCGAAAAGAACCCCGGCGAGGGGAGUGAAAAAGAACCUGAAACCGUGUACGUACAAGCAGUAGGAGCCCACUUGUUGGGUGACUGCGUACCUUUUGUAUAAUGGGUCAGCGACUUAUAUUCUGUAGCAAGGUUAACCGUAUAGGGGAGCCGCAGGGAAACCGAGUCUUAACUGGGCGUUAAGUUGCAGGGUAUAGACCCGAAACCCGGUGAUCUAGCCAUGGGCAGGUUGAAGGUUGGGUAACACUAACUGGAGGACCGAACCGACUAAUGUUGAAAAAUUAGCGGAUGACUUGUGGCUGGGGGUGAAAGGCCAAUCAAACCGGGAGAUAGCUGGUUCUCCCCGAAAGCUAUUUAGGUAGCGCCUCGUGAAUUCAUCUUCGGGGGUAGAGCACUGUUUCGGCUAGGGGGUCAUCCCGACUUACCAACCCGAUGCAAACUACGAAUACCGAAGAAUGUUAUCACGGGAGACACACGGCGGGUGCUAACGUCCGUCGUGAAGAGGGAAACAACCCAGACCGCCAGCUAAGGUCCCAAAGUCAUGGUUAAGUGGGAAACGAUGUGGGAAGGCCCAGACAGCCAGGAUGUUGGCUUAGAAGCAGCCAUCAUUUAAAGAAAGCGUAAUAGCUCACUGGUCGAGUCGGCCUGCGCGGAAGAUGUAACGGGGCUAAACCAUGCACCGAAGCUGCGGCAGCGACGCUUAGGCGUUGUUGGGUAGGGGAGCGUUCUGUAAGCCGUUGAAGGUGGCCUGUGAGGGUUGCUGGAGGUAUCAGAAGUGCGAAUGCUGACAUAAGUAACGAUAAUGCGGGUGAAAAACCCGCACGCCGGAAGACCAAGGGUUCCUGUCCAACGUUAAUCGGGGCAGGGUGAGUCGACCCCUAAGGCGAGGCCGAAAGGCGUAGUCGAUGGGAAACAGGUUAAUAUUCCUGUACUUGGUGUUACUGCGAAGGGGGGACGGAGAAGGCUAUGUUGGCCGGGCGACGGUUGUCCCGGUUUAAGCGUGUAGGUGUGUGUUCCAGGUAAAUCCGGUUCACUUUAACACUGAGGCGUGAUGACGAGGCACUACGGUGCUGAAGUGACAAAUGCCCUGCUUCCAGGAAAAGCCUCUAAGCAUCAGGUAACAUCAAAUCGUACCCCAAACCGACACAGGUGGUCAGGUAGAGAAUACCAAGGCGCUUGAGAGAACUCGGGUGAAGGAACUAGGCAAAAUGGUGCCGUAACUUCGGGAGAAGGCACGCUGAUAUGUAGGUGAAGUGAUUUACUCAUGGAGCUGAAAUCAGUCGAAGAUACCAGCUGGCUGCAACUGUUUAUUAAAAACACAGCACUGUGCAAACACGAAAGUGGACGUAUACGGUGUGACGCCUGCCCGGUGCCGGAAGGUUAAUUGAUGGGGUUAUCCGUAAGGAGAAGCUCUUGAUCGAAGCCCCGGUAAACGGCGGCCGUAACUAUAACGGUCCUAAGGUAGCGAAAUUCCUUGUCGGGUAAGUUCCGACCUGCACGAAUGGCGUAAUGAUGGCCAGGCUGUCUCCACCCGAGACUCAGUGAAAUUGAACUCGCUGUGAAGAUGCAGUGUACCCGCGGCAAGACGGAAAGACCCCGUGAACCUUUACUAUAGCUUGACACUGAACACUGGUCCUUGAUGUGUAGGAUAGGUGGGAGGCUUUGAAGUGUGGACGCCAGUCUGCAUGGAGCCAUCCUUGAAAUACCACCCUUUAAUGGCUGGUGUUCUAACGUGGGCCCGUAAUCCGGGUUGCGGACAGUGUCUGGUGGGUAGUUUGACUGGGGCGGUCUCCUCCUAAAGAGUAACGGAGGAGCACGAAGGUCAGCUAAUCCUGGUCGGACAUCAGGAGGUUAGUGCAAUGGCAUAAGCUGGCUUGACUGCGAGCGUGACGGCGCGAGCAGGUGCGAAAGCAGGUCAUAGUGAUCCGGUGGUUCUGAAUGGAAGGGCCAUCGCUCAACGGAUAAAAGGUACUCCGGGGAUAACAGGCUGAUACCGCCCAAGAGUUCAUAUCGACGGCGGUGUUUGGCACCUCGAUGUCGGCUCAUCACAUCCUGGGGCUGAAGUAGGUCCCAAGGGUAUGGCUGUUCGCCAUUUAAAGUGGUACGCGAGCUGGGUUUAGAACGUCGUGAGACAGUUCGGUCCCUAUCUGCCGUGGGCGCUGGAGAAUUGAGGGGGGCUGCUCCUAGUACGAGAGGACCGGAGUGGACGCAUCACUGGUGUUCGGGUUGUCAUGCCAAUGGCAUUGCCCGGUAGCUAAAUGCGGAAGAGAUAAGUGCUGAAAGCAUCUAAGUACGAAACUUGCCCCGAGAUGAGUUCUCCCUGACUCCUUGAGAGUCCUGAAGGAACGUUGAAGACGACGACGUUGAUAGGCCGGGUGUGUAAGCGCAGCGAUGCGUUGAGCUAACCGGUACUAAUGAACCGUGAGGCUUAACCUU